rnacentral:rRNA from 1 species
GAGCGAACGCUGGCGGCGUACUUAACACAUGCAAGUCGAACGAGGAUCGCCUGUGUAGCAAUACAUAGGCGGUUCUAGUGGCGUACGGGUGAGUAACACGUGGGCAACCUGCCCUUGAGUCCGGGAUACCCUCCCGAAAGGGAGGCUAAUACUGGAUACGUUCCUCGGGUCGCGAGAUCUGGGGAGGAAAGGUGGCGAAAGCUGCCGCUCUUGGAGGGGCUCGCGGCCUAUCAGCUAGUUGGUGAGGUAACGGCUCACCAAGGCUAUGACGGGUAGCUGGUCUGAGAGGACGACCAGCCACACGGGAACUGAGACACGGUCCCGACUCCUACGGGAGGCAGCAGUGGGGAAUUUUCCGCAAUGGGCGAAAGCCUGACGGAGUGACGCCGCGUGGGGGACGAAGGCCUUCGGGUUGUAAACCCCUGUCAGAGGGAAAGAAGGGCGCUGACGUUAAUAGCGUCGGCGUCUGACGGUACCUUCAGAGGAAGCCCCGGCCAACUCUGUGCCAGCAGCCGCGGUAAGACAGAGGGGGCAAGCGUUGCUCGGAAUCACUGGGCGUAAAGGGCGCGUAGGCGGGAUGGCAAGUCAGUCGUGAAAUCUCUCGGCUCAACCGAGAAACGUCGGCUGAUACUGCCGUUCUUGAGGGAUGCAGAGGAGACUGGAAUUCCCGGUGUAGCGGUGAAAUGUGUAGAGAUCGGGAGGAACACCGGUGGCGAAGGCGGGUCUCUGGGCAUUUCCUGACGCUGAGGCGCGAAAGCGUGGGGAGCAAACGGGAUUAGAUACCCCGGUAGUCCACGCUGUAAACGAUGACGACUAGGUGUGGGGUGGGUUAGUCCAUUCCGUGCCGCAGCUAACGCAUUAAGUCGUCCGCCUGGGGAGUACGGCCGCAAGGUUGAAACUCAAAGGAAUUGACGGGGGCCCGCACAAGCGGUGGAGCAUGUGGUUCAAUUCGAUGCAGAGCGAAGAACCUUACCUGGGCUUGACAUGCUGGAAGUAGAAACCCGAAAGGGCGACGACCUGUUAAGUCAGGAACCUGCACAGGUGGUGCAUGGCUGUCGUCAGCUCGUGUCGUGAGAUGUUGGGUUAAGUCCCGCAACGAGCGCAACCCCCGUCCCAUGUUGCCAGCGGGUUAUGCCGGGGACUCAUGGGAGACUGCCGGGGUCAACUCGGAGGAGGGUGGGGACGACGUCAAGUCAUCAUGCCCCUUACGCCCUGGGCUGCACACAUGCUACAAUGGCCGGUA